UACGAAGGGGGCUAGCGUUGCUCGGAAUCACUGGGCGUAAAGGGCGCGUAGGCGGCCAAGCAAGUCAGAUGUGAAAAUCCCGGGGCUUAACCCCGGAACUGCAUUUGAAACUGCAUGGCUUGAGUCUCGGAGAGGAUGGUGGAAUUCCUAGUGUAGAGGUGAAAUUCGUAGAUAUUAGGAGGAACACCGAUGGCGAAGGCAGCCAUCUGGACGAGUACUGACGCUGAGGCGCGAAAGCGUGGGGAGCAAACAGG
rnacentral:rRNA from 1 species